rnacentral:rRNA from 1 species
AUACGGAGGGUGCAAGCGUUAAUCGGAAUUACUGGGCGUAAAGCGCACGCAGGCGGUUUGUUAAGUCAGAUGUGAAAUCCCCGGGCUCAACCUGGGAACUGCAUCUGAUACUGGCAAGCUUGAGUCUCGUAGAGGGGGGUAGAAUUCCAGGUGUAGCGGUGAAAUGCGUAGAGAUCUGGAGGAAUACCGGUGGCGAAGGCGGCCCCCGGGACAAAGCCUGACGCUCAGGUGAGAAAGCGUGGGGAGCAAACAGGAUUAGAUCCCCGGGUAGUCCACGCCGUAAACGAUGUCGACUUGGAGGUUGUGCCCUUGAGGCGUGGCUUCCGGAGCUAACGCGUUAAGUCGACCGCCUGGGGAGUACGGCCGCAAGGUUAAAACUCAAAUGAAUUGACGGGG